CCCGUAUUUGUAAAAAAAAUGCAGUUAUGCGUGGGUUAUUGUAGAAUAAAUGAAGAAGCGAUUAACAAUUUAGGCAAUCUCUCAAGCAUCUGAUCGCAGGAGCGACCUCGUGUGGCCGAAAGGGGAACGAUCCUUUUAUGUCACCAAUCGACGCAUCUUUUGACCUUUGUGUAUUUUCUGUUUGGUCAAAAAGAAAUCCUUCGACAAAGGGCCGUACGAGCCCCUUCCUCCAGCAAAGAAAUAGCGUGUAUCGUUAUUAAUUACGAAAAGUCCCAACGGGGCAAAUAGCAUUCGUUUAAGAAAGCCAUCCCAAAUGUUUCUCUACAAGAUUAGUAGGCUGAACACUUGUCCUUGCAUAGAAGCAAAACAUAACGCCUAGAUUGUAUUAAUUUCUUCGUUGGUCCUUUCCCUGUCAGUGUUUCGUGCUCGUCUCUAGUCUUCUUCCAGUUUGAGCACCCUCGACUGAGCCGAACUUAAACCUAAAAUAUAUUCCCUGGCUCUCUGAAGCAUGCAAUCUCUUUCUAAAGGAGGCUGAAAAGAAAUGACCCCCGCAAAACUUUUUUUUUUCUUCUUGUUUUUGACAAAACCUCAGGUCGAGCGGAUUGAAUUUUACGAUGGAUCGACGGUAAUUGGUGUGCAGUAAGAGAGAAACCUGUCUCCGCCCCCCAAAAAAAACCAGGAUGGGAAAGGAAAGGAGGGCUUAGAUCACGCUUUCGCUGAGCUACUGAUUUGCUUACUGCGAUUUCGAUUCGCGUUGGGCUUGAAGGCGAAGCUCUAUAUUUAGCAGACACCAGAAUCGGGCUGAGAUAACGGACUAAAUGACUCUCUCGGUCAGUUCACUGAGUCAGGUAUUUAGAGACAAAGCCUACUGAAGGACUUCUUAUAUUUUAUGGUCUCCAUGUACAUGUGAUUUGGAAGACAUAAAGCGGGAUGUGUGUUUUCCCCGUUUUCCGGACGGGAUCGGACGUCUGAUGGAGCGUUCGCCAAGUUGAUGUCCACCGCCUCGGGAAUCCCCCUGCAAUUUUCUCCAGGAAAAUGGGCAAGGGCUCUUCUCCCAUCGAAAUAGCAAGCAGUGCGUCAGAGAAAUCAGUCACGUCCCUUAUUUUUCCCCGUGCAGGCUUCUCUGUUGAUUUUAUAGCGCACCAAGCGAAACACAGGAUUGUCGCUGUAUUCCCUUUCAAUCGACGACUAUUGACUGACACCCGGGAAACCUCUGUUCAGCAGAACUUGAGACCGAAAGAAAAGAGACAGAAGUCACGUUAAAAAUUCUGGAAGGGUUCAGCAAAACUCGAGACCAGAAAAAGACACAGAAAUCGAGUUAAAAAUUCUGGAAAUGAGAAUGACACAGUAACUGUAAAGUGAGACGGGAGUCUAGAACAAUAACAGUCAAAAUGCGCUUAUUCUCCUGCACCGAUUCAAGGUAUCGCAUGCUGAUGUACGGGAAGAUGCGCGUUCAUAGACAAGUACUGAGCCCCCCAAUAUGUAGGAUUCAGUUCGACUUUGUAAAUAAAAUUCUAAAAAAAAUUCUAGAGAAAACUUGCUUCUAUUCGGCAUGACAGAAUUUGGGGAAGCUUUGAGCAUCGCACACUUUCACCGUUUUUAAGAGUCCCCUCAGAAAAUAGAAUUAGAAACGAAUUAGAUUACCUAUGGUCAAAAAUGAAAGGUCAGUUUUUUCAUAUUAAGAAUGGCCAACUUAUUUUGAAUGAAAAAUCUCAUGUAAUCUGUGAAUCUAAAAAGAUGAUAUUCCUGUCAUGUUUUCUAAUGAUCCCUUAUCAAUUAGAAAGAAACAUAUCAAUAAGUGAUAAAACAUGGUAAAGAAAAAAAAAACUAUAAUAAAAGUGCUUGUGGUUUUACUUUGCUGGAACACUUUUUAGGUAACUACAGAGUUAUCUAUUCAAAUGGGUUGUGCUAAUUUAGUAAAAUUAAGAGAUGCCAUAUCAUCACUUCACUAUUUCCAUGUCAAUCUCUGGGUUAGCUGAACGUGGAAAGGAGAAAAUAUCUAUCAAAAUGAGUUAAUUCUUGAUAUCUUAACGCAUAGGUAUUGACUCAGAUUAUUUGUUCUUUUUUUUUUUUAAUUUUACAUCCCUCCUCUCCCUCCCCUCCACCCAAACAAAACUUUUUCUGAAACUGGAAAAGGGAAGCAACGUGGCUUAGA